rnacentral:lncRNA from 1 species
GGUACGCACGACAUGCCCGACGGACCUUGAAAGAAUAUAAAAAAAUAACUUUGCAAACAUUUUUACCAAAGUUUCCUAAUAAACGAUCUCAAACAUACUUUCAUCAUUACUAUUCAUGACAGCGAUGUUCAAUUUGUUCAACCGCUAGCUUUAUACAUAAAAUCGCCGAUAAAUAAUGUGUAAAUCCGAGUAAAAUCGUAUCUCACUAUCUGUCAAAAACAACAUAGAAACCAAAAUGGCUGCCGCGAGAUUACAAUAUCGGAUCCGAUUCCGGAAGCGGAUAAGGGUAAUCCCGGAUUUGGCUACUAAAAAAUCCAGACGGGUGCCAAAAUACAUUUAUGCAUCUAUGCAUGGUAAAUAAAUAUAAACACUAGAAUUGAAAACAAAAAGACAUAUGUAAAAGAAAGAAAAAGCA